rnacentral:lncRNA from 1 species
GACUCAUGCAGCACAUGCAGCUUUCGUCUUGACAACCACUGGACAACGUAGUCCGUGAACCGGUGUCCCGUAGCGACUUCGUCGUGACUGCCUCAGAGAACGUCUAGUACUGCCUUUGCUUGAUUGACGGACGUCGAGGGCGAAACAGAGCGAAGGUGCUGCAAUGCGCUGCCUUGCCACGACAAGUGAUGCAAGCCAGAAAGACCAUUACGUGAAGCAAUGACGGGCGAACAUAUACGUGGAGAACGAACGAAGUGAUUGUGCGAGCAGGCCAAGCCAGAAAGUUGCAAGGAAACUAUUAGUGCCACAAAACCAGCCACCGCCGCCUCUAGCACCAUCCGGUGCCCGUGCUGCAAGUACAGUCAUAACCCCUGUGGAGGGGAUCCGACCCCAUGGAGAACGCAGGGGCUGACGAGCUGCGUUUAAGUAUGCUUUGCUGGUGCUUUUAGCUAUUUCAAAAGACACAAGAAGUGGCCCGACAUCACUUGGCCAUAGGCUGCUCUUCCUCAUCUCAAUGAGCAUAGCUCUUGGAAUGCUGGCUCCGCCAAAAAACUAGCCAUAAAGUUCAAAGUAAAGUUUUUAAACCAUGUA